rnacentral:lncRNA from 1 species
ACAACAACAACAACAAACCCAGUGUAUUCCCACAUAGUGAGGUCUGGGGAGGGUAAGAUGUACGCAGUCCAUACCUCUACCUCUAAAGAAGUAGAAAGGCUGUUUCCGAUAGACCCCCAGCUCGAGACACGGAAUACUACACAAAUACAUAGUAAAGCAUGGAACAAGAUGGCAUAACAAAAUACGACACCCACAAGUAAUAGAAAA